rnacentral:rRNA from 1 species
AUUGAACGCUGGCGGCAGGCCUAACACAUGCAAGUCGAGCGGAGCGGCGGACGGGGGAGUAAUGCCUCGGAAUCUGCCUGGUAGUGGGGGAUAAAGUACGGAAACGGGCGCUACUACCGCAUACUAUCCGGGGAGACUAGGUCGGAUUAGCUAGUUGGUGGGGGAAAGGCCUACCAAGGCGACGCUCCGUCACUGGUCUGAGAGGAUGAGCAGUGACUCUGUAACUGAGACACGGUCCACCCUCCUACGGGAGGCAGCAGUGGGGAAUAUGGGACGAGGGGCGAAAGCCUGAUCCAGCCAUGCCGCGUGUGGGAAGAAGGUCUGCGGAUUGUAAAGCACGUUAAGUUGGGAGGCGUUACCAACAGAAUAAGCACCGGCUAACUUCGUGCCAGCAGCCGCGGUAAUAC